GUCGGCAACACAGAGAUUCCAUUUCUUCCUGGGAUUAGGAAGCACGAAGUGUCCAGAUCUGCUUCUGAAAUCUCUUCCUCCCUUAAGCCAGGGUCAAAGCUGCCUCAUGCAGACGGAGAGGAGAAGCUGCGUUCCCUGCCUUUCCCGAAUUGUUUGUGGACUUUAAAUGAAGAAAAAGGCAAGACCUAAAUCCUGAACUCCUACCGCUAUAACACAUUCCUCUGCGCUAAGGAACUGACAUUCUAAAGGUGCAGAUACCCCCGGGCUGGAGGCUGAAUGGGCAAGAAGAUCCCGGCACAGCUCAGGCUGAGUCGAAAGACCGUGGUUUUUGGCCAGGCACAGUGGUUCAUGCCUGUAAUCCCAGCACUUUGGGAGGCUGAGGCAGGCAGAU
rnacentral:lncRNA from 1 species